rnacentral:rRNA from 1 species
GCCCAGAUCACCAGUUAAGGUCCCCAAAUCUAUGCUAAGUGGAAAAGGAUGUGGAGUUGCGUAGACAACUAGGACGUUGGCUCAGAAGCAGCCAUCAUUCAAAGAGUGCGUAAUAGCUCACUAGUCGAGUGGCGCUGCGCCGAAAAUUUACCGGGGCUAAGCAUAGUACCGAAACUGUGGAUGUGUUUUAAAGAGCACGUGGUAGGAGAGCGUUCUAAGUGCGGCGAAGGUGAACCGAGAGGAUCAUCGGAGCGCUUAGAAGUGAGAAUGCCGGUAUGAGUAGCGAAAGAUAGGUGAGAAUCCUAUCCGCCGAAAGACUAAGGUUUCCUGGGGCAGGCUCGUCCGCCCAGGGUAAGUCGGGACCUAAGGCAAGGCCGAGAGGCGUAGUCGAUGGACAACAGGUAGAAAUUCCUGUACUGUGUUCAA